AUGGCAGCUCGUGUGGACGUGGCCUCUGGUGAGGUGGGCCAAGCAGGAGAUGCAGGUAUCAAGCCUGAGCUAGGCCCCAAACCCUGCCUGAUUCCCAAACCCUUUUCACUGCAGAGGAACACCACAUUCCGCUCCAUCAUAGCCCCAAAGACACUCACAAUGACUCCACAGCCAUCUCAGGCCACGUCCACUACCUCCAGCAAACCAGAGCCUUGUCAGCCUAUUAGUGCCCCUGUGUCUGACUCAAGCAGCAUUGUGAAACUCGAUGCAGAGAGCACCACGAUACCUGAACUGACCAAUGCUCUCGAAGUUCCUUCAGCCAUAACACCCCAAACUGAAUCGACCCACACUACUGAACAAAACCAAACGGCUCUUUCCACAUCCCUUACUACCCCAGAAUCUGAGCCACCAGCUAGUACCACAUCUGACCCAACUGGAACCUCAGAUGUAAAUCAAGUCAGUCUUUCUGAACUGGACGAACAUGGCCCCUCUGAUACAGGCCACUCCGCCACUGGAACUGAGCCUGUACCAUCACCAUCAGUCACCUCAACUCCUCUUCAACCGCAGUCUGAAAACACUGUGAGUGAGCCCACCCCUGCGGUCGUCAGGCGCCACGCUGGGAAGGAUCAGGCAGCCCACUUGGGAGGAGGCAGGAAGCGGCUGUCCAUGGAGCUCACCUCCAGGUUUGAGUCUGCUGGCCUCUCACUCCCCUCACAGCCACCAGCUAACCAGGAACGGGAACAGGUGACCAUGAGAGAGACUGCAGUCCCCAAAGUGUCAGUCCUCGGGGCAAAAGAGGAAGAGAAGGUCACUGAUUCACCAGGGUCACCGUCUGAACCAGAGUGCAGACUCAAGCACUCAACGCCACUGAAGGAAGAGAGGGAUGGAGAAGGGGUAAAGGAGGAAGGAGAAAAGAAAGGGAACAGCAUACAACGGAGGAUCAGUCUGCUGCUGGACUCCUCUUCGAGACCAGAGGCUCUGACCAAUAGGGAGGAAGUACCUCGUCCAUUGAAACAAGCAGUUAGUUCUGGUGGUGUGAAACAGCGGAUCAAAGAAUGGGCAGCAGACACACCUCCUGUUCAGGCAUCCAAUCAGAGGGUGGAUGUUGCCCCUCAACCAUUCCCUGUCAGAGUUCACCCUGUGUUGAGUGUCACUGGGGGGUCGUUGGCGACGAGCAAAAGCGUUCAGCUAGCUCCUCGAGAGGACAAGGCUUCCACCCUACUUCACGCUGGACAUUCUGGGAUAGAAGAUGAGGAGGAGGAGGAUGAAGACGAGGAGGAGGAAGAGGAGGAGGGAGAGAAGGAGGAGGAUGUGGUACCACUCUACAAAACAGUAGGGAUACAUCUUGGACAGGAAGAUGGAGGGAAAAAACAGGACCUAGUGGUUGAUCAAAUAUGGAAAGAGAUGGAGGCUAAGGUUAAAGAGGAGGAAAAACCUGCAGAAGUGGAUCAAUUAAAACAGCUGGAACUAGAAGAGAGACAGGCAGAAGAUGAGAGGGAGAGAGAAAGACAAAAGGUAGUGGAGAGGGAAAGGGAGAGACAGAGAGAGGAGGAAGAGAGAAAGAGGGAAGAAGAAGAGGAGAGAAAAAGACAAAGAGAAAUGGAGAGGGAAAUGAAGAGACAGAGACAGAGAGAGGAGGAGAGGGAUAGGGAGAGACAGAGAGAUAAAGAAGAGAGAGAGAGAAAGAGGAAAGAAGAAAAGGAGAGAGAAAGACAGAUAGAACUUGAGAAGGAAAGGGAGAGACUGAGAGAGGAGGAAGAGAGAGAGAGAAAGAGGAAAGAAGAGGAGAGAGAAAGACUGAUAGAAUUUGAGAAGGAAAGGGAGAGACAGAGAGAGGAGGAUGAGAGAGAGAGAAAGAGGAAAGAAGAGGAGAGAGAAAGACUGAUAGAAUUUGAGAAGGAAAGGGAGAGACAGAGAGAUGAAGAAGAGAGAGAGAGAAAGAGGAAAGAAGAGGAGAGAGAAAGACUGAUAGAAUUUGAGAAGGAAAGGGAGAGACAGAGAGAGGAGGAAGAGAGAGAGAGAAAGAGGAAAGAAGAGGAGAGAGAAAGACUGAUAGAAUUUGAGAAGGAAAGGGAGAGACAGAGAGAGGAGGAUGAGAGAGAGAGAAAGAGGAAAGAAGAGGAGAGAGAAAGACUGAUAGAAUUUGAGAAGGAAAGGGAGAGACAGAGAGAUGAAGAAGAGAGAGAGAGAAAGAGGAAAGAAGAGGAGAGAGAAAGACUGAUAGAAUUUGAGAAGGAAAGGGAGAGACAGAGAGAGGAGGAGAGGGAUAGGGAGAGACAGAGAGAGGAGGAUGAGAGAGAGAGAAAGAGGAAAGAAGAGGAGAGAGAAAGACUGAUAGAAUUUGAGAAGGAAAGGGAGAGACAGAGAGAUGAAGAAGAGAGAGAGAGAAAGAGGAAAGAAGAGGAGAGAGAAAGACUGAUAGAAUUUGAGAAGGAAAGAGAGAGACAGAGAGAGGAGGAUGAGAGAGAGAGAAAGAGGAAAGAAGAGAAGGAGAGAGAAAGACUGAUAGAAUUUGAGAAGGAAAGGGAGAGACAGAGAGAGGAGGAUGAGAGAGAGAGAAAGAGGAAAGAAGAGAAGGAGAGAGAAAGACUGAUAGAAUUUGAGAAGGAAAGGGAGAGACAGAGAGAGGAGGAUGAGAGAGAGAGAACGAGGAAAGAAGAGAAGGAGAGAAAAAGACAGAUAGAACUUGAGAAGGAAAGGGAGAGACAGCGAGAGGAGGACGAGAGAGAGAGAAAGAGGAAAGAAGAGAAGGAGAGAGAAAGACAGAUAGAACUUGAGAAGGAAAGGGAGAGACUGAGAGAGGAGGAAGAGAGAAAGAGGAAAGAAGAGAAGGGAGAAAGACAGCGAGAAGUGGAAAGGGAAAAGGAGAGACAGGUAGAGGAAGGAGAGAGGGGGAAGCUUAGGAUGAAAGAGGAGAGAUUGAGAGAGAAGGAAAGGGAGAAACUCAAAGAAAAAGAGCAAGAAAUGGAAAUACAGAGAGCGGAGGAAAGGAUGCAGGAAGAUGAGAUAAAGAGAGAAGAAGAUCGGGAGAAAGAAGAAGCAGUGUCCCCAAUCCAAUUCAUCACUCUUAAACCUGACCAACCUCCCAAGCCAGAGCCUCCUCCCUCAACUACCGUCCCCAUCAUAGAACCAAUACCAAAAGAAGAGAAGCAGCCUCACAUCGAGGUGGUCUACGACGACUUCUCUGUCAAAGAGGAGAAGCCUCUUAUCAAGAUGGUCUAUGAUGAUUUCUCCGUCAAGCCCCGGCGGUGGGGGUCUCAGGCCAGGUUCCUUGCUGACCGUGCCCAGGUCAAGUCACCCUCCCCUGGAACAGAGGAGCCUGAGUCACUGGGCUCCUCGGAAUCCGACCUUCAGAGAACCGUUGUUGACACCCAGGAGCCAGCCCAAGAGAGUCCAGUCGAACCUCACCCAGCUGAGAGGGAUCUAGAGGGGGGAGUCCCCACCCCAAAGGAUGGAACAGAGAAUAAGAAGGAGAAGAAAAAGAAGGAGGAAGAGAAGUAUAAUGAGGAGGGCACCAGCAUGGAUAUGGAGGAGGUAAGCAAGGGGAAUAUCAACUGGGGAGUAAAUAUGAAAAUUAUAACACAAAAAGGGUAUUUAAUGGCCUAG
rnacentral:lncRNA from 1 species